rnacentral:lncRNA from 1 species
CCAGAACCUGCCUGGGAAGGCUCAUAGAAACAAAACUUGAAGAGUUCUCUGGCUGCUAUUUUGCUCAAAAGAAAACCAAAGUUUCAGAAUUGAAAGGGAGGUCAGCAGAGAGCUGCCAAUAACACAGAACAACCAAGAAGACAAAGAAAUUCUCUGCUGUGGCUAAAGAAGCAAUUUUAAUUCCUUUCCUUUCUGUAGAACAGGAUAAGUACAAAAAGCUUUGCUUGUGAACACUUUUAAACCAAAAUUUUUAAAGUAUCACAGAAAAGUAAAG